UGCUGGUGCAGGAAGUCCAGAGCCAAUCCCACUGUCAUCACAUUCUCCUGCCCUGCAUCAGGUUCCAGAAUGUUUGUGGUACUGUUACAGAAGCCCUAGGAGACGAAUACAAAUGAAAAUGAAGAAUAAGUUUAGCUCAACUCAAUAUGUUAAAGAGAGCACCCAUAACAUCUGCCUCCCUGUCCACGACCUCCUCCUCCGCAACUGCCUCCAGCACCACCGACUUCAAUGCCGCCACCACCCUCAUGUCAUGCUUUAGGCAGACUUUGUGUUGCUGGGUUGGCCAAGAGUCCUCAAGCAUUUCCCCAAAACAGAGUCUACAUAUGCAGCAAGGACUCAAAGGCUGACCUGCAUGGAUUCCAUGAAUACACUUUCUGGCCUCUGGCUUCCACUUGGGUUCAGCCAAUGAGAAGACCUGGCUGAUCGCAUGAAGGGGAAGGAGUGCAGUUCCAGGGUUCCCAGAAGGAUAAGAGAGAGAACCAGGAGGAUAAGAGAAAGAAAAAGCCUGGAAGAUAUCUGAAGAGAUACUUACUACUGAAAAACUCCCUAGCAUGGGAAAGGAGAAAGCCCCCCAAGUCCAGGGAACUCAGAGACUCACAUACAUGAUUCACUCUUCUCCACAGUUUCUGACUUAUGGUGCUCCUCCAAACUCAGGACCCCACACUGCUCUCCACGUCAGUACCUCUUCCUUCUUUCUGACUUACUGUCAUCCUCCUCACGCAAGAACUGCACUUCACAGCAAGUAACUAUCUCCACAUAGUUUUUGUCUUAACAGUGCUUCUCCUCAUCAGGAACCCACAUCUUCUCCAAGUAUCUAUGCCAAGGUUCUGACCUAUGCACUCGUCCUCACUCAGACCCUACACUGUGCCCCAAAUGAGUAUUUCUGCAUCAUUUCUGACAUGCUGCACUCUUCUGUACUACACCCAAUUCCUCUCCAAAUGAGUAUCUCUGCCUACAUGCUGAUUUACUGCAUUCCUCCCCACUCAAGACCUCCACUCGUCUCCAAGUGAGAAUCUCUGCCCAGUUUUGGACCAAUCAACUCCUCAUCACCCACAACACCCGAACUGGCCAUUGAGAACCUCUUGCUAAUUUCUGGCUUACUGCCCAUCUUCUCAAUCAGGAAACCCCCUUCUGUUUAACUUUGCAUCACUGAUUAUUUUCUGACUUACUGGGUUCCUCCUUAUUUAGGACCUCCUCUCUUUUCCAAGUGAGUAUCACUGCCCAAUUUCUGAUAUAUGGCCAGAUCCUCUUUCACAUGACCCACUCCUUUCCAUGUAAGAUCCUCUUCCUAGUUUCUUACUUCCAUCCCUUCUCAAUCAAGAACUACACACAUAUAGAAUUUAGUAUUUCUGCCUAAUUUCUGAAUUACUAUUCUUCUGGUAACUCAGGAUUAUCAUUCUAUCCACCUGAGGGUCUCUUCCCAGAUUUGAACUUUGGGCUCCUCCUCACUCAGGGCCCUUUACAUCUCUCCAAUGAGUAUCACUGCACAGUGUCUAACUGACUGUGCUACUACUCAUUCAAGACCUCUACUUGCUUCCAAGUGAGGAUGUCUGGCCAUGUUCUGACCUAUGUGCUCCUCUUCACUCAACACCUUCCAGUCCUCUCCAUGUUAGUGUCUAAACCUAGCUUCUAAUUUAGUGCGCUACUACUCACACAGGACCUACACUUUUCUCCAAGUGAAUAUACCUGCCCAGUUGAUCCUCUUUCACAACAUGCACUCAUUUCCAAGUGAGAACCUCCUCUUACUUUCUGACUUACUUCCCUCCAUCUCAAUCAGGAACUACUCACCUGUACAAUUUUGUAUCUCUGCAUAGUUUCCGACUUACUGAGUUUCUGCUCACUCAGGAUCGCCCCUUCUCUCCAAGUGAGUAUCUCUUCCAGUUUUGACCUAACUUCUUCCUCACUCAGGACCCUUCACUCCUCUCCAGUGAGUAUCUCUGCUUAGUUUCUAAUUGACUGCCUGACUCCCGUCUCAGGACCAGCACUUCUUUCCAAGUCAAUACCUCUGCCCAGUUUCUGUCGUAUGUGCUCUUCCUCAGUGAGGACCUCCUCUCCAAGUGAGUAUCCCUGCCCAGUUUCUCAACUAUGCGCAACUCUUCCCUCAAGACCCUCCCGUCCUCUCCAUGUUAGUAUCCCUGCCUAGCUUCUAACUUAUGUGCACUACUACUGACAAAGGAUAACAACUGUUUUCCAGGUGAGUAUAUCUGCCCACUUUGUGACCUAUGGCUUGAUCCUUGUUCACAACACCCACUCCUUUCCUAGUGAGAACCUCUUCCUAGUUUCUGAGUUACUUCCGUACUUCUCAGUCAGGGACUACACACCGGUAGAAUUUGAAUUUCUACCUAAAUUGAAACGUACUGUUCUUUUGCUUACUCAGGAUCUCCAUUCUCUCCUCUUCUCCUCUCCAAGUGAAUGUCUGCCACCUCUGUGACCCUCUUCCCUCAGGACUUCCUUUCCUCUACAAGUGAGUAUCUCUGCCCAGUUCCUCACCAAUGCGAUCCUCCUCCCUCCAGAGUUUUUCUCCUCUCCAAGUGAGUAUCUCUUCCCACGAUCUCAACUAUGCCCUCCUCCUCACUCAAAACUUCGCAGUCCUCUCCCUCUUAGUAUCUGUACCUAGCUUCUAACUUAAUGCACUACUACACACACAGGAUCUACACUUUUGUCCAAGUGAGCAUCUCUGCCCAGAUUCUGACCUAUGGCCUGACCAUCAUUCACAACAUUCAGUCCUUUCCAAGUGAGCACCUCUUCCUAGUUUCUGACUGACUUCCCGCCUUCUCAAUCAGGAUCUACACACCUGUAGAAUUUGGUAUUUCUGCCUGGUUUCUGAAUUACUGUGCUCCUGCUCACUCAGGCUCUCCACUUCUCUCCAAGUGAGUAGCUCAUCGAGUUUUGAAUUCUAUGUCCUCCUCACUCAGGACUCUGCACUCUUCCGCAUGUUAGUUCUCUGCUUAGUUUGUAACUGACUUUGCUACUGCUAUCUCAGGACCACCACUUCUUUCCAAGUGAGUAUCUCUGUCCAUGUUCUGACCUAUAUACUCCUCCUCACUCAGGACUCUCCAGUCCUCUCCAUGUAAAUCUCUGCCUAGUUUCUAACCUAGUGUGCUACUACUCACACACGACCUUCACUUUUCUCCAAAUGAGCAUCUCUGACCUCUUUCUGUCCUAUGUCCUGUUCCUCAUUCAUAACACCCACUGUUUUCCAUUUGAGAACUCUUCCUAGUUUCUUACUUGCUAUAUUCCUUCUCAAUUUUGUAUAAUUUUGUACCUUUCCUAGUUUUCGACUUACUGUGCUCCUGCCCUCUCAGGCUCUUCACUUCUUUCCAAGUCAGUGUGUGUUCCCAGUUUUAACUAUGCUGCCCUCCUCACUCAGGACCUCCACUCCUCUCUGAGUUUGUAUUUUUGACUUGUUUCUGAUCUUUUCACUCCUCCUCACUCAGAACCCUCCACUCUUCUCCAAGUGAGUAUCCAUACCCAGUAUGUGACCUACGCGCUCAUCACUAAGAAUCCCUCACUCCUCUUCAAGUAAGUACAUCUUGCUAUUUCUGAUUUACUGCUGUCCUAAAUCUGGAAGUCCACUCCUGUUGAAUUUUGUAUCUCUGCCUAGUUUCGACUUACUGUGCUCCCCGCCACUCAGGACCUCCAUUUGUCUCCAAGUGAGUAUCCCUCCCUAGUUUCUGACUGUCUUCCCUCCUCCUCACUCAAGUCCCUCCACUCCUCUCCACAUGAAUAUCUCUGCCCAGUUUCUCAGCUGAUCACUCCUCCUCAUUCAGGACAUCCACUCAUCUCCAAGUGAGUAUCGCUGCCUACUUAACUGACUCUGCUACUCUUCACUCAAGACUUCCAUUUCUCAGUGUGUAUCUCUACCCAGUGUCUGACCAAUGCGCUCCACCUUACUCAGAUCCUCUCACUCUUUUCCAAGUGAGCACGUCUUGCUAGAUUUUGUGUCCUGUCCUCCUUGUCAAUCAGGAAUGCCAUUCCUGUGGAAUCUCUGCCUAGUUUCUGACUCACUGUGCUCCUCCUCAUCAGGAACCUCUUUGUCCUCUCUGAGUAUCUGCCCAAUAUCCUAUAGGCUCUUCCUCACUCAAGAUCCCCUUUCUUCUCCAAGUGAGUAUCUCAGACUAGUUUCUAACUUACUAAGCUUCUCCUAAGUGAGGACCCCCUGCCCCUGUCAUUUCCAAGUGAGUACCUCUUCAUAGUUUCUGAUUUACUGCCCUCCUCGUCACUCAAGACCUCCCAUUCCUCUGCAAACAAAUGUCUUUGUCUACCUUCUGACUUACCGCUCUCGUCCUCAUUGAGGAUGCCAGCACUGGUCACUGGUGUGAAUUUUCUCCAUGUUUAUGUGGUCAAUAGUUUUUGGUGUGCUCUCCCAUACAUUGUAAUGUGUUUGUAAUGAUACAUUUCUCACGUCUUUUGAAUGUUUUCACUUCCUUGAAACAUUCCUGCUUUCAUAAAGUGAAAGAACUAGGUUCUCUUUCCUUGUAGCAUCAGUCCCCUGGAGGUCUUUGGGCUAGCAUUCCUGGUUUGUAUCCUGUCUUCCCAGGUUCAAUGGCUUGGCUGGGAAUUCC